AACGAACGCUAGCGGCAUGCCUAACACAUGCAAGUCGAACGAGACCUUCGGUUCGAGUGGCGCACGGGUGCGUAACGCGUGGUAACCUGCCCUUAGGUUCGGAAUAACUCCCCGAUAGGGGUGCUAAUACCGGAUAAUGUCUUCGGACCAAAGAUUUAUCGCCGUUGGAUGGGCCCGCGUUGGAUUAGCUAGUUGGUAGGGUAAAAGCCUACCAAGGCGACGAUCCAUAGCUGGUCUGAGAGGAUGAUAAGCCACACUGGGACUAAGACACGGCCCAGACUCCUACGAGAGGCAGCAGUGGGUAAUAUUAGACACUGAGCGAAAGCCUGAUCCAGCAAUGCCGCGUGAGUGAUGAAGGCCUUAGGGUUGUAAAGCUCUUUUACCCGGGAUGAUAAUGACAGUACCGGGAGAAUAAGCUCCGGCUAACUCCGUG
rnacentral:rRNA from 1 species